GCAACCUUGAGCGGCGUCCGUGGAGUGCGCCUGCGCAGCUACGACCGCAGCAGGAAAGCGCCGCCGGCCAGGCCCAGCUGUGGCCGGACAGGGACUGGAAGAGAGGACGCGGUCGAGUAGGUUUUAAAACAUGAAUCCUACACUCAUCCUUGCUGCCUUUUGCCUGGGAAUUGCCUCAGCUACUCUAACAUUUGAUCACAGUUUAGAGGCACAGUGGACCAAGUGGAAGGCUGCAAUGGUGGCCUAAUGGAUUAUGCUUUCCAGUAUGUUCAGGAUAAUGGAGGCCUGGACUCUGAGGAAUCCUAUCCAUAUGAGGCAACAGAAGAAUCCUGUAAGUACAAUCCCAAGUAUUCUGUUGCUAAUGACACCGGCUUUGUGGACAUCCCUAAGCAGGAGAAGGCCCUGAUGAAGGCAGUUGCAACUGUGGGGCCCAUUUCUGUUGCUAUUGAUGCAGGUCAUGAGUCCUUCCUGUUCUAUAAAGAAGGCAUUUAUUUUGAGCCAGACUGUAGCAGUGAAGACAUGGAUCAUGGUGUGCUGGUGGUUGGCUACGGAUUUGAAAGCACAGAAUCGGAUAACAAUAAAUAUUGGCUGGUGAAGAACAGCUGGGGUGAAGAAUGGGGCAUGGGUGGCUACGUAAAGAUGGCCAAAGACCGGAGAAACCAUUGUGGAAUUGCCUCAGCAGCCAGCUACCCCACUGUGUGAGCUGGUGGACGGUGAUGAGGAAGGACUUGACUGAGGAUGGCGCAUGCAUGGGAGGAAUUCAUCUUCAGUCUACCAGCCCCCGCUGUGUCGGAUACACACUCGAAUCAUUGAAGAUCCAAGUGUGAUUUGAAUUCUGUGAUAUUUUCACACUGGUAAAUGUUACCUCUAUUUUAAUUACUGCUAUAAAUAGGUUUAUAUUAUUGAUUCACUUACUGACUUUGCAUUUUCAUUUUUAAAAGGAUGUAUAAAUUUUUACCUGUUUAAAUAAAAUUUAAUUUCAAAUGUA
rnacentral:sRNA from 1 species